rnacentral:rRNA from 1 species
GACGAACGCUGGCGGCGUGCUUAACACAUGCAAGUCGAACAGAAAGGCCCUGCUUUUGUGGGGUGCUCGAGUGGCGAACGGGUGAGUAACACGUGAGUAACCUGCCCUUGACUUUGGGAUAACUUCAGGAAACUGGGGCUAAUACCGGAUAGGAGCUCCUGCUGCAUGGUGGGGGUUGGAAAGUUUCGGCGGUUGGGGAUGGACUCGCGGCUUAUCAGCUUGUUGGUGGGGUAGUGGCUUACCAAGGCUUUGACGGGUAGCCGGCCUGAGAGGGUGACCGGCCACAUUGGGACUGCGAUACGGCCCAGACUCCUACGGGAGGCAGCAGUGGGGAAUAUUGCACAAUGGGCGGAAGCCUGAUGCAGCAACGCCGCGUGCGGGAUGACGGCCUUCGGGUUGUAAACCGCUUUCGCCUGUGACGAAGCGUGAGUGACGGUAAUGGGUAAAGAAGCACCGGCUAACUACGUG